rnacentral:tRNA from 1 species
GGGGGUGUAGCUCAGUGGUAGAGCGCAUGCUUAGCAUGCAUGAGGUCCUGGGUUCAAUCCCUAGUACUUCCU